ACACUCCUGCGGGAGGCAGCAGUGGGGAAUAUUGCACAAUGGGCGCAAGCCUGAUGCAGCCAUGCCGCGUGUAUGAAGAAGGCCUUCGGGUUGUAAAGUACUUUCAGUGGGGAGGAAGGCGAUAAGGUUAAUAACCUUGUUGAUUGACGUUACCCGCAGAAGAAGCACCGGCUAACUCCGUGCCAGCAGCCGCGGUAAUACGGAGGGUGCAAGCGUUAAUCGGAAUUACUGGGCGUAAAGCGCACGCAGGCGGUCUGUCAAGUCGGAUGUGAAAUCCCCGGGCUCAACCUGGGAACUGCAUUCGAAACUGGCAGGCUAGAGUCUUGUAGAGGGGGGUAGAAUUCCAGGUGUAGCGGUGAAAUGCGUAGAGAUCUGGAGGAAUACCGGUGGCGAAGGCGGCCCCCUGGACAAAGACUGACGCUCAGGUGCGAAAGCGUGGGGAGCAAACAGGAUUAGAAACCCGGGUAGUCCC
rnacentral:rRNA from 1 species